UAGGGAAUCUUCCACAAUGGGCGAAAGCCUGAUGGAGCAACGCCGCGUGUGUGAUGAAGGGUUUCGGCUCGUAAAACACUGUUGUAAGAGAAGAAUGACAUUGAGAGUAACUGUUCAAUGUGUGACGGUAUCUUACCAGAAAGGAUCGGCUAAAUACGUGCCAG
rnacentral:rRNA from 1 species